rnacentral:misc_RNA from 1 species
GUGGCGCAUUUUAAGCGCUGAAAUAUAGCCUGCGCUUUCUCUUUGCAGUAUUAAUCCACCAUUUUCCCUCUCUCUUUCUUCCUCUGCUCUAACUCUCUCUGCUUGUUUCUCUACUACCUUCCGUUUCUCUCUCUCUUUCUUGGCCAAGUAACUGUUGGUGGUGAUGGUGGUGUUAGUGGUGGAGGAGGAGCAGCUGACUCAUUCACAUUCCACAGAAGGCGUCAGCAUCAGGGAUUGAAUACCGAGAGAUACAUAUAUUUCUCUCUCUCCAUUUCUCAUUCGCCUGCUCCCUGUUUUCGCCCCCUGUCAGAUCUCUCUUUCUUGAGAUGUUACUGUUAACCUUGUUACUCUGUUCCCCCCUCCCUCUAGUCUAGUCUAAUCUGUCAUUUCCCUUCUGUCCGUUUCUCUCUCUAGGGUUUGGCUCCUUUAAGGCUUGACCUGGUUUUGUUUCAUUUUAUUUAUCGUGUGUCGUUCAUAGUCUCUCGUGCUGGAGAUGCGUCGAAGAAGAACCUU